AUCUCUAAGAUCUUCUGAUCGCGACUGCUCUGCCUGUGAGUUCUUGGUUUUUUUCCUUUUCGUGUCGAUAUUUAUUGUUGGUUGAUGCUUAUCGUUUUGUAGUUGCAGAGGGCUAUUAGAAGUGGGAGAUGAGCAUGAGGUACACGAGCAGAGUAAUGUUGUACAAAGCAGGGAUGCGAGACCAAGCCUCCAAUUGCGACUCCGGCGUCAAGUCCCUUAAUGAGUCAACCUGUACUUGUUUCUCUUCUUCUUCCAAACAGGCGAGGCUUUUCACCGGUGCCGUCGAUUCCCCUGCUUUGAAGACAGCCAAGAACGGCGAUCAUACCAAGCUACGACAGGCAGAGGAAUCCUUUCGGACUGUUAUGUACUUGAGUUGUUGGGGUCCCAAUUGAUUGAUCAUCCUAGGAGGUAUAAGAACAAGUGGUUGUUCUGUUCGAUCGUAAUAGUCUGUAUCUAAAUAAAGAUCCAAUUUUCCCUCUCCUUGAACAGUUUUGAACGAUUUCACGAUUGUACUCUCCUUCUUGUACGUGGGUUGAUGUAUAUAAGAGUUGCAUAUGUUAGUAGCCA